ACUGAAUCCUAGCAACCACAUUCUGAAAAGCUGUCUUACCUUCAUUUUAUAGGGAAACUAAAGCUCAGAGAAGGAACUUUCCUAAAGUCCACAGGAGUAUCACAUCUACACUCAGGUCCCCUGACUUCCAAAUCUGGAUUAUUACAAAGAAAUCCCAGGAUGGAAUUGUGAAGGGAUGUGUCUGCAGCCGGUGAGGAAGCCCAGGCACACAGAAUCCUGCAGACCUCCCCAGCCCCUCCGCAUCCACAGAGAGCACUCAGAUGUGAUGAUUACUACUACAAUGACAACAUACAUUUAUGUACCUGCCAUGUGCCAGCAGUGAUCCAAGCACUUUAUAUGCUAUGUUUACCCUGAAUCGUCACGACAAAUUGUGCUGCUAUUGGUAGGUACUAUGUGAUCAG
rnacentral:lncRNA from 1 species